UAUGGUAAUUGUGUGCCAGCCUCCGCUUUACUACGUAGGUGGCAAGCGUUGUCCGGAUUUACUGGGUGUAAAGGGCGUGCAGCCGGGCAUGCAAGUCAGAUGUGAAAUCUCAGGGCUUAACCCUGAAACUGCAUUUGAAACUGUAUGUCUUGAGUGCCGGAGAGGUAAUCGGAAUUCCUUGUGUAGCGGUGAAAUGCGUAGAUAUAAGGAAGAACACCAGUGGCGAAGGCGGAUUACUGGACGGUAACUGACGGUGAGGCGCGAAAGCGUGGGGAGCGAACAGG
rnacentral:rRNA from 1 species